GAUGAACGCUAGCGAUAGGCUUAACACAUGCAAGUCGAGGGGCAGCACAAGGUAGCUUGCUAUCUGGGUGGCGACCGGCGCACGGGUGCGUAACGCGUAUGCAACUUGCCCUAUACAGGAGGAUAACCCGUCGAAAGACGGACUAAUACUGCGUAUGCUCACAACUUGGCAUCAAGUGGUGAGGAAAGAAAUUCGGUAUAGGAUAGGCAUGCGUCCCAUUAGCUUGUUGGUGAGGUAACGGCUCACCAAGGCAACGAUGGGUAGGGGAACUGAGAGGUUUAUCCCCCACACUGGUACUGAGACACGGACCAGACUCCUACGGGAGGCAGCAGUGAGGAAUAUUGGUCAAUGGGCGCGAGCCUGAACCAGCCAAGUCGCGUGAAGGAUGACUGUCUUAUGGAUUGUAAACUUCUUUUAUACGGGGAUAACAAGAGUCACGUGUGACUCCCUGCAUGUACCGUAUGAAUAAGCAUCGGCUAACUCCGUG
rnacentral:rRNA from 1 species